rnacentral:tRNA from 1 species
GUCGGGAUAGCUCAGAUGGUAGAGCAGAGGACUGAAAAUCCUCGUGUCCGGGUUUUCAAAUAAA